GUUUGGUCUUUUGAGGCAAAGUUCUGAGACACUCCGACUCUGAAUAUGAUAGAAGUCAGUGCACUACAGAACUUUGUCUCUAG
ensembl:miRNA MIR148A microRNA 148a